rnacentral:lncRNA from 1 species
GCAUGUUGUGGAGAAAGACAAUCCGGUAGCAGAUAUGUUAUCUCGAGCAGUAUAUGAAAGAAAAGACAAGAUGGUUGUAGAUAUUGAUGAUGUUGGAAAAAAAUUCUAUUCAGUAUCAAAUCUUAAUAAGGAAGACAAGAUAUUUUUUGAAGAGCUUUAUGAAAGAGAAUUACUAGAUUUUGGUCUUUAUUUGAAUACCU